UUGUGUUUCAGUGUCCAUCUGUUCUCUCUCAAUAUUUAAUCCGACAGCAGACAAACUGCCUGUCCCACAUUUGUCGUUUAUAAUAACCACCAGUAGAUGGCAGCACCGCGCCGACUACCGUCUGGUGAAGCUAACACAAGAGGAAGACUUCAUUAUGCGCAGGCGCAAUGACUCGCCAACAACAACAACAACAACAGUGUUAGCCAACUGCACAGAAGCUACAAGCGAACCGCGAAAAGUUUGAAUGAACAUUUCCAGAGCAGAGAUGUAGUCAGUGAAUGCAGCACCAUACGGACGGUAACGGAGCUGAGCAGCAGUGGCCUGAGCACCUCAUGGACAAUUAAAGGAAUGACAUUUCCACUGUCAUAAUAGCUGUACAGUGUGCUGUUAUUUUUGCCACUUGUACUUUUGCUGCCUCAGUGGAUGAGAUCAUGGAAAUGGAGGAGCAUCAUACAGACCUGAUAACACCACCUUCUCAGUGCUGACACUACUAGAUUUCCUGCCUCAGCGGAUGAAAUCCUGGAAAUAGAGAACCAUCAUUCAGAGCUGCCGAAGCUGCCGGGUUUUCGAUGGUGGCCCUUCUUUGAUUCAAGUCAUGUUAUUUCUUGCUCCAUGUGGGUAAGAAAUAACAUUUCUUGGGUCUGGAGGUGAGGGGAGUUAAAUACCCACCCUCUCAGUGAUGGGAGGAUGCAUCACCCACUGUUUCUUUCAAUAAAAUGUUAUGUAAGAACCCCUACUCCUCUUCCAUCCUUAUUUGCUGAGCCUUGGAUUUGUACUUCCGACCAGCCUCACACCACUCAUUUGUCUUCACACCACUGGCCUUUCCACUGAGCUAUCUGUGAGCUACAAAUAAUGGGCUAGAACUUGUAUUUAUUCUGUUUGUUUUUGAACCAGAACACAGAAAAGCUGUUCAUGUGGGUCGUGAACCAUCAACCUCUGGGCUUGGAGUGUGAGUUUUGUCUCUGUUCUAGACCACUGAGCUACCUGUCAGUCCAUAAUGGUUUGGUGGAAGUUGUAUUUAUUCUGUUUGUUUUUGAGGCAAAGCACAGAAAAGCAGUUCAUGUGGGUUGUGAACCAUCAACCUCUGGGCUUGGAGUGUGAGUUUUGUCUCUGUUCUAGACCACUGAGCUACCUAUCAGUCUAUGACAGUU